CUCUGCAUCAUCGGGUGGUCCUUGGUGAGCUCCCUUCAUGCCUGAUGAACAAGGGCCGUGGCCGAGGACACCAAGAAGCAAGGCCGGCUCCUGAGCUGACCAGCUGGCGUGGGAAGGCAGUGUGGGUUUGCGGUGACCAACCAGCCUGGUGCAGGCAGCCACCCGUGAGAAGCCAAUCCCACCACGGGGCCACAGCCCAGUGACCACCGAGUGACUCCUGGCGGUGAAGGCUUUAAGCCCCUCCCAACCCUGGACCUCAGCACCCCCAGUUCUGCCGCUCUGUGCAGCCGUAAGUUGGGGGCUGAGGGCAAAUGCAGCCCUGUGCCAGGGGAGGGGCGUGGUGGGAGGGCUCCUGUCUCCUCCAGCCUCCCCACGCCCCUUCCUCGGUGUGUCCACAGCGGGGCAGGGGGGGUCUGUGCAGGCGCACGCAGUGAGCAAACAAGAUAAGGGAUGGUGGCCACACUGCAGUCCCCUCAGCGCUAGCUACUGUGAUAAAACCCUCUUCUUCUAAGUAGUGUAGCCCUUCCACACGAGUCGGAAUGUGUGGGACCCGCCAUCCUGGCCGUGCCAUCAGAGCAGACCUGGCGCUGGGCGCUGGAUCAUGCUGCCCCUGUGUCCGGGGCUACUGAAAUUCCUGUCUUCUCGAGUUACCAUAUUUGACACCUGCCUUGGCCGGGUUCUCAGCAAGCCAAGCUGGUGCGGGAUCCUGCAUGGGGACGUCUCACUGUGGCCAGGUGAGCCAGUGGGGGGCAAGGGCCACCUUCCCGCUGGGCACCACUGAGCACCGCGGGCAGCUCACUGCUGGUGCCCCUGAGAACCCUGCCAAGAGGCCAAAGGAACCCCUGAGCCUGGGGACAGCCUCUCCCAGGGCAGGAUGGGAGAGGGAUAGAAAAGGCUGAACCCCCAGUUCCUGAUGGAUGAAGUUCUGCCCUAACCACCAGGUGAAGCUCUGGGGACUGGGAGUCUCAGCGCUGGGUGUGCCUUUGCUGAGCUGAUCUCCCCAUGGUGGGGCCGGUGGGGAGACGCAGGCUGUGGGAGGCACCCAGCCUCCUCCAACCCGGAGGGCAGGGCCGUCGCAGGGCCCAGGGAACAUCUGCCCAGAGUGCCCCACCCUCACCUUCUAGACCACAUUCCAGGGCCCCGGAUGGAGAUUUCUCUGCCCAAAGACCCCCAGCCGGCCUCUGGGGUCUGCAUGAGCCUCUCCUGGGUUCCUCCUCCAAGGGCACCACCCCAGGCCCGAGAGGCGGCCAAGGACAGCUAUUUGCUGAGGGCUGUAGUGGUGCCGGGAGGGUCCCGGCUGGGAAGAGGAGGCUGCAGGCUGGGGUUGAGGCAAGAGCUCCCGAUACCACUUUCCAAAACCCAACUCGGGGCGGCCCGUUUCCGAGUUCUAGCGGGCCUUCCAGGUCUUCGUGGAAAUACGGGUGUCCAGUAGGAGGACAGAAAAGAUCUCACGAACAGUUUGUUAGCUCAUUUAGGACUUUCAUGGAUUUAGACAUAGCCGGUGGUCUGCAGCCAUCGGGCCAUCAGACAGUGGCACCAACCUCAGCUCCACAUGGCCCUGAAGAGCAGCUUGAGAGGCUCUUCCUGGUCCGUAGCUGGGAGAGGUGGAGCCGCGCCCUCCCGGACUCGAUCCAGGGGCCUCUCCUCAGUGGGCACGAUGCCUGCAGCGAAUGCAGGGCACUGUCAGGGAGGCGCUCAAUAAACGUCCAGAAGGAGGAGGGACCUGCACACAUGGAGUGCCUGCUGUGUGCACACUGAUCCCUGCACACAUGGAGUGCCUGCUGUGUGCACACUGAUCCCUGCACACAUGGAGUGCCUGCUGGGUGCAACCCGCUCGUGUGUCAUCUCUUAUUCCUCAAAACAACCCUGAAAGGUAAGCAUUGUGAAUCUGAGGCAAUUCUCAUCCUCACUUUGUUGAUAAGAAAACGGGGAUGGAUUGAAUGAAAGCACUGCCCAGUCCCUCACUGCUCACAGGCAGGGGCUACUCUGGCCCUUGGCUUCCUGUCCCAGGGAUGGAGGCGAUGCUAGGCACUGUGGCCAGGGUGGGGUGCAGGGCUCGGGAUGAAGGCCUCCUGAAAACAGCACAAACGCGACUGUGGCUUCCACGAUGACCACUUCCAUACUCCAACUGCCUGCCUCAGAAAACCUCCACGAUGCAAUUAAACAUCUAUCAAUGCAAGGGGCAAUGAUGUGGAACAUAAGUGACUUUGUCUUUGAUCACUGGGAGAGCUCAUCAUUGCCUUUGAGCUUCAGGGGAGUGGCUGCAAACAGCGCGCCAGAUACUCCAGACAGAACCACUGAUGGAACAUUCCAGUGAAGACAAGAUGCUGGAAGAUCCGGGUUCCCUGAACUCCGCACACAACCAAGCUGUCUAGAAAUAGACCCAGCAGCGUGGGUGCGGAAGAGGAGAUGCUGGCUGGGCUGUGAGUCAUCUCCAGCUCUUGACUGCCAACACUUCUAGAAACAGAUAUUUUGGGUUCCCUUGGAAAGCAGUUUUAAGGAGUCUGACUUGUGACACUGUUGAUCCAGCGAGAAUCGAGGACCCAGAGGGAAGGCGAGCCUGGCUUCCCCGUCCGCCAGCGAGGGGAGAGGAUUCCCAGCCUCGCUGACGGGACCUGGGUGUGGGGGACAGCCCCACCGCUCUCGGGAACCUUGGGAGCAGGCUGGGUCCCGGUGACAACAAGAGCUGCUGGAAGACCCAGGGCCUUUGGCCGGGGACCUGUCUGCACGGCCACUCCAGGCUCAGGUUUGCUGACUCAUCACCGAAUUAGAAAAGGAGUUGAAAUGGGAUGAGAACCUCCCAGGGGCAGGGUUUUGCUUUCUGACCUCUGUGGGGUCACAGUUUAUCCAAGAUGAAGCAGAGGCCAAGUUACUGGGGAUAGGAUGGAGACCAGGGAAGAGGUCUCAGGGACAUGGGGUUUACUCCCAGGCCCUGUGGUCAGCAGGCCCAGCCUGAAAUCAGCCUGUAAACACCCGACCCUCAGCCGAUCUCGGCCCUGAUGACCUGACAGGACCUGAGGAGACCUACGAGGACUUGGGCAGGUGUCACUCCCGGCUGCUUACGUCGUGUAUGGAAGAGAGCAGAGGCCAGUAUACUGUGGUUGUGCCUGUGGUCCCAGCUGCUCGGUAGGCUGAGGAGGGAGGAUCACCUAAGCCCGGGAGGUCCAGGCUGCAGUGAGCUAUAAUCACACCUGGGCCACAGAGUGAGAUCCUGUCUCAAAAAUAAAAAAAAAUAAAAAGGAGCAGAAAUUGGAGCUUUGGGGCCUUGAAGAUGAGCAGCCAAAGCCACCUGGGCCUGAGGCCGGGGUCCCGCGGGGGCGGUGGGUCUGGCUGGGGUCCCACGGGGCGGUGGGUCUGAGAGCCGGGGUCCCGCGGGGCGGUGGGUCUGGCCGGGGUCCUGGGCUUCUGCUUGGGUCCUUACUGUGUAAACUCCUGCGGUUAGGAUGAGUCAUUGGUCUGUACCUGCUUUCCAGGCUCCUGUUCUUGUAACAAAAGAGCUUAUUCUGUUCAAAGCAGCCUAAAAACAGAGAGACCAGCCGAGAGGAGGUGGUGCCGGGCAGGAACUCCUCCGGAAGAUGCUCUCAGGCCCCCACCAGGACACCCUUUGCCUUGGAGCGGGCAGCAUCACCGUGUCGGCGGGAACCACAACCUGCCAGCCCCUGCCAACCUGGACACCGAGGCCAGCAGGCCUGGGACCGCCAAGGGAGGCCUGGACACACGCACCUUUGGGAUCCAUGCCUGCUCCCCCUUUAGGCACGUUAGUGUGAGGUUCUAGAAGCCCAUUUCUCAGCCUCCGAGCUGCCUCUCUGAAAUGACAUUUUCCCAUGUCCCUGACUGCAGCCUUCUCUCGUCCCAGAGCUCGCCGCUGAAGACAGCUCACCAUGGACAAGGGUUUAUCCAACAACCAGAGCUUGGGGCUGUGGUAACUCAGUGCCAGGUGGGGACAGGGUCCCUGCUGGUCACCAGGAGCCUGUGCCAGGAAAACUGGGACACUCCUGCGUCACUGCUGGCCCGGGUGGGACCACCUCUGUUCCCCACUGGCAAUGUCCAAGCCCGGCCAGGGCAUGGUGGGCUCCUCUGCUCUCAGCGCCCAGGCUGCCCUGGCCCCGGUGUCAGUUACGCAGCCACUGCAUCCUCCCUCUGUCCCAGUCAUGUCUACCCAGGUUGCACCCAUGCGUCAGCCCCCUACCCUCCUACAGUCCCCAGACAACACGGCUCCCUUCCUUCCACGUGUGGCCACUCUCCUACUUCUGGCACCACUACCUCCUCUAGCAGCCCCGCAGCCCCUCCCCUCCCUUCUCCUAUUGCUGGGGGCAGGGAAGCUCCAGGGGCAUCCCCAGCACCCAGCGAGGAGCCCGGCAGACAGUCACUGUUCAGAGAACAGCAGACACAUGCAUCAUUAAAGCAAGAAUAGAAAACA